rnacentral:tRNA from 1 species
CCUUAUAUAGCACAGUGGGAGUGCGUUCGCUUCGUAAGCGAAAGGUCGCGGUCGCGAGUUCGAUCUUCUCUGGAAGCU